AGCGAACGCUGGCGGCAGGCUUAACACAUGCAAGUCGAGCGGACCUUCCGGGGUCAGCGGCGGACGGGUGAGUAACGCGUGGGAACGUGCCUUCCGGUUCGGAAUAACCCUGGGAAACUAGGGCUAAUACCGGAUACGCUCUUACGGGGUAAGGUUUACUGCCGGAAGAUCGGGCCGCGUCUGAUUAGCUAGUUGGUGGGGUAACCGCCUACCAAGGCGACGAUCAGUAGCUGGUCUGAGAGGAUGAUCAGCCACACUGGGACUGAGACACGGCCCAGACUCCUACGGGAGGCAGCAGUGGGGAAUAUUGGACAAUGGGCGCAAGCCUGAUCCAGCCAUGCCGCGUGAGUGAUGAAGGCCUUAGGGUUGUAAAGCUCUUUUAUCCGGGACGAUAAUGACGGUACCGGAGGAAUAAGCCCCGGCUAACUUCGUG
rnacentral:rRNA from 1 species